rnacentral:lncRNA from 1 species
GGUUUCUUUCUUUCUGCGAACAAUUUAAAACAUAAAUAAAUAUUUUUACAUAAAACGUUUAAUGCAAAAUGUUGUUAUGCAUGUAUCAAAGUUAUACAAUAGAAUAGUGAGUCAAACAAAACAUACGGUGAUUUACCUCAACUUCAUUCAUAUGGUGAUGUACCUCAACUGCACCAAUGUUGACACCAUUUUCCUGUAAAAAUUGUUUAAAUCCAUCAUAGUAGGUAUUAAGAUUAAACACUUAGAAAAAAUGGUAACACAGUCAAUCAACUAUAUCUAAUAGAUUCAGACAAAUGCUCAUGGAACUACCCAACUUAGUAUUCUAGAUAUACUCUUAGAAAUAUAAAUCAUGGAUAUAAAUGUUUACCAAAAGUUUAGAUAGUAAAAAUAGUGAUCUAAAAGAUAUAAAAUUCCAAACCACCAAUCCCAUGUGCAGAUGACAUACUAUUUGUUUUUAUGUUUUACUAUACUUUACACUUAUUGAUUUCUUUAUCAAUUUACGAAAUUAAAAAUUGAAACGCAUAUUACAAAAUGAUAAGAAUUACUUUUUUCCCUUUCUCUACGCUAAUUGCACGGAAAAUGUUUAACAACCAAAAUACAUGUAUCCCCAUUCUGAAUGAGUUCUUAUGAUUAUAGUGCUUCCAAAGAAUAUAGUAUUUUACCAAUAAUGUCUGUUUACCAAAAAAUGCAGAGGAAAGAAGGUUUUCAAGAUGUUAUCUGUAGUCAAUAUGGUACAAUAUUAAAAUGCUUAGAGUACUAGACAUCGCUCAAACCAGGAAAAAAAUAUAUACAAAAGCUCAAUAAAAUAGAUUGGCAAACAAAAUAAAGUUUGGGUAGGUAAAGCACGUACCAUAUUUUUCUCAAUCAAAAUGGAUCGAUCUAGAAAAUCACUCGACCCUAAGUCUCUGUUGAACAUUCAACUUUUCUGUCCCAAAAUACAAUUCAAGAACUCUUACAUACAAUUUUAAGAAACAAAGUCAUAUAACUCUAUAUUUUAAAUGUCAAACUAAAACCCAAUUUAGGGCCUUUAAGCAAAAACCCUAACUUCCAAUUGAAGAGUGGGAUAGCGAGAGAUAGGGGGAAAAGCAAACCUGGCCUAUGGAGAGACUAUUGUGGCGGAGGUGAUAACAAAAGGCCACCCACGGUGGUUACAGCGAGAGCAAGGCGAGACAUAGAGACGUCGUCUUCUGUUAACCGCAUAAGAGAGAAGGAAAAUGAAAA